rnacentral:rRNA from 1 species
GAUCAUUACAGAGUUUAUGCUCGUCAGAGCUAACCUCCCACCCGUGUCUAUUACAUCUUGUUGCUUCGGUGGCGCAUUCGUGCCGCCGAGGACACCAUUUGAACUCUGUUUUAUAAUGCAGUCUGAGAAUAUAACUUAAUUAGUUAAAACUUUCAACAACGGAUCUCUUGGUUCCGGUAUCGAUGAAGAACGCAGCGAAAUGCGAUAAAUAAUGUGAAUUGCAGAAUUCAGUGAAUCAUCGAGUCUUUGAACGCACAUUGCGCCCCCUGGUAUUCCGGGGGGCAUGCCUGUCCGAGCGUCAUUGCUGCCCUCAAGCCCGGCUUGUGUGUUGGGUCCUCGUCCUUAGGGACAGGCCCGAAAGGCAAUGGCAGUACCGCGUCCGGUCCUCGAGCGUAUGGGGCUUUGUCACCCGCUCUGUAGGCCCGGCCGGCGCUCCGCCGACCAACCAAAAACUAUUUUUCAGGUUGACCUCGGAUCAGGUAGGGAUACCCGCUGAACUUAAGCAUAUCAAUAAGCGGAGGAAAAGAAACCAACAGGGAUUGCCUCAGUAACGGCGAGUGAAGCGGCAAGAGCUCAAAUUUGAAAGCUGGGCCUUUCAGGUCCCGCAUUGUAAUUUGCAGAGGAUGCUUCGGGAGUGGUCCCCAUCUAAGUGCUCUGGAACGGGCCGUCAUAGAGGGUGAGAAUCCCGUAUGGGAUGGGGUGUCCACGCCCGUGUGAAGCUCCUUCGACGAGUCGAGUUGUUUGGGAAUGCAGCUCUAAAUGGGUGGUAAAUUUCAUCUAAAGCUAAAUAUUGACCGGAGACCGAUAGCGCACAAGUAGAGUGAUCGAAAGAUGAAAAGCACUUUGAAAAGAGAGUUAAAAAGCACGUGAAAUUGUUGAAAGGGAAGCGCUUGCGACCAGACUCGCCUCUAGGGUUCAGCGUGCAUUCGUGCACGUGUACUUCCCUUGGGGCGGGCCAGCGUCGGUUUGAGCGGCCGGUAAAAGGCUCUCGGAAUGUAACGCCUCUCGGGGCGUCUUAUAGCCGGGGGUGCCAUGCGGCCAGCUCAGACCGAGGAACGCGCU